rnacentral:rRNA from 1 species
GACGAACGCUGGCGGCGUGCCUAAUACAUGCAAGUAGAACGCUGAAGAGAGGAGCUUGCUCUUCUUGGAUGAGUUGCGAACGGGUGAGUAACGCGUAGGUAACCUGCCUUGUAGCGGGGGAUAACUAUUGGAAACGAUAGCUAAUACCGCAUAACAAUGGAUGACACAUGUCAUUUAUUUGAAAGGGGCAAUUGCUCCACUACAAGAUGGACCUGCGUUGUAUUAGCUAGUAGGUGAGGUAAUGGCUCACCUAGGCGACGAUACAUAGCCGACCUGAGGGGGUGAUCGGCCACACUGGGACUGAGACACGGCCCAGACUCCUACGGGAGGCAGCAGUAGGGAAUCUUCGGCAAUGGGGGCAACCCUGACCGAGCAACGCCGCGUGAGUGAAGAAGAUUGUCGGAUCGUAAAGCUCUGUUGUAAGUCAAGAACGGGUGUGAGAGUGGAAAGUUCACACUGUGACGGUAGCUUACCAUAAAGGGACGGCUAACUACGUG